UGGUUCUGGCAUCGAUGAAGAACGCAGCGAAAUGCGAUAAGUAAUGUGAAUUGCAGAAUUCAGUGAAUCAUCGAAUCUUUGAACGCACAUUGCGCCCAUUAGUACUCUAGUGGGCAUGCCUGUUCGAGCGUCAUUUCAACCCCUAAGCCUAGCUUAGUGUUGGGAGACUACUGUAGCGGUGCUACAUGGGAGCCACCCUGUAACAUGGGCCGGUUUACCCUGUAGCUACCCUGUAGCUCCUCAAAGUCAGUGGCGGAGACGCGGAGUCCUCUGAGCGUAGUAAAUCUUUCUCGCUUUUGUAGGUUCUGUGGCUUUUGCCGUUAAACCCCCAAAUUUUUAAUGGUUGACCUCGGAUCAGGUAGGAAUACCCGCUGA
rnacentral:misc_RNA from 1 species